AGCGAACGCUGGCAGCAGGCCUAACGCAUGCAAGUCGAAAGAACUCUUCGGAGUUAGUGGAGGACGGGUGAGGAACACGUGGGAACGUGUCUUUAGGUUCGGUAUAACUCAGGGCAACUUGUGCUAAUACCGAAUGUGCCCUUCGGGGGAAAGAUUUAUCGCCUUUAGAGCGGCCCGCGUCUGAUUAGCUAGUUGGUGAGGUAAAGGCUCACCAAGGCGACGAUCAGUAGCUGGUCUGAGAGGAUGAUCAGCCACAUUGGGACUGAGACACGGCCCAAACUCCUACGGGAGGCAGCAGUGGGGAAUCUUGCGCAAUGGGCGAAAGCCUGACGCAGCCAUGCCGCGUGAAUGAUGAAGGUCUUAGGAUUGUAAAAUUCUUUCACCGGGGACGAUAAUGACGGUACCCGGAGAAGAAGCCCCGGCUAACUUCGUGCCAGCAGCCGCCGUAACAC
rnacentral:rRNA from 1 species